UCGGUUGCGGCCAUCCGGCGUGGUCUCAGCCGGCCGUCUCUGGCGAGGCGUUGGGCCGCAGUGGGGCCGAUUGCUUGGGGCCCCGUCGGUCUCCCUCCAUCCGCCUCAUCUCGGUCCCGGCCUCGAGCUGUGCGCAGCCGGUGGGGCUGGGGCGGUCGUGAGUGCAGAACAGAGCGGUUGAGUCCACCCUGCCAACAACCCCGCGCCUCUGCUGCGUUGGGAUGUGUGUUUAGGGGACAGGCGAGAUGGAGAUUGAGGCCGUUUUCUGGCCGUAUACAGUUCCAGCACAUCCAGUGGGUAGUGCAGUGUUCCUUUGUAGCCCUGAUACAUCCCCACCUGCAGCUCUUUGCUAGCUUGUGAAGUGUCUUUGCAUAGCUCCUGCAGUCUAUGGCCAGCAGUGCUUGCCUGUUAGCUAUGGAAGGCACGUAGUUAAUUGAGUUCUAUGCACCCUUCCAUGUCCCUUCAUCUUAUUAUUAUCUAUACACAGCUUGACAAUUGACAUUUCUCAUACCAGUCCCUAUAACUACCUCCUAUUUGCCUCACAAACCCUACAACUACUCCAUUACAGCUGUCCCUAGAGACUGAAAUUGUCCUUAAAUACUGAACAGAAGUAUUUUCAACCCAUGAAUAGCUGUACUAUGAUUUCUGAGGCCCAGUGUAACCAUCAUAGCUCUAACAAUUGCCUACAAAGAAUUACUGGGAAAUCUGAAAAUAUGUAAAAAUCAAACCUGAAUCAACAGAGCAUUAUGUCUACAACAGAACAAUCUUGAAUAGUAGAAUGGUGCAGUUUUACAGAUGGAACUGGAUCUUUUUAUGGGGAAACUAGUCUGAAAUGCUAUAGCAGUAAUGACACCGUUUGGCUAUUCAACCUUUGAAUCUCUGGGUGAUUGAAGUGCUUACCUUCACUUAUCUAUGACAGUAGCCUUGUCAGUCAGAAACACUGAGAUACAACCAUAAAAAGUCUAAUAAAAAUAGAUAGUGUCAUCUUAUAUAGUUCAUUUGAAGGCAAACUGUAUUUCAGUAGACAUCUCUCACCCUAUCUAUUCAGCAAAUAAAAGUUGUUUUAUUUAGGUGGUAAUGCACUGAAAGCUUGGAGGAUUUGUGCUUUCAUUGACUUCUCAAUUUCUUGUGAGCAACAUGAAGGACUGAGGGGACAAUGAGUAAUUUCAGAAAAGAAAAAAAAAAAAAAACAUUGCUGGAAGGAUGUGACUAAUUCCAUGGUAAUGCUUUACCAACUUUCAUCCUAUCCAUGCUGGUAAAGAAAGUUUUUGUUUCGAGGAUUUUAAUACUUGAUAUUGUAUUAUCCUUUCUCUUAUGUCAGGUUGUUGCUUGCAUGCAUAUUUGCUUUGCUAGGUGAACAGGGUGACCUGUCAGUAAGUUGAAGGAUAAAAUCUCUUGGCUGUUGGUUUGUGUUCUUAAAUCAUGGAACUUUGAACUUUUUGAUUGAAAAAUCAUAUCAAACCUAGUCAGGCCUUGGCAUAAGUGUAAUAUAUAUAUAUAUAUACACAUUUGUUGCUACCCUUGAGUUAAUGUGUUUGCAGAAUUUUUAAAUCUAUAUUAACAUCUCAGUCUCUAAAUACAUCAUCACUCGCUAUGUCAGGAGGGUCAUAGCUUCUUUUGUUACUGGGAAAUUGUUGAAUCACUUCAAUGUUUUGACCCUUUCAUCUAUGAAGUUUGUUUGCAGAGCUGUCUGCAUUACUCAAUUGGGGCCUAACAGAGACUGAAGUUCUGCUUCAAAACAUUGCAAAUACAUAUAUGUAGAUUUUUCUCAAAUUUCAGAAUUUGAAUUUUUGGUCUUUAUCAAAGUACACAUCUCAUCUUAAUAUUUGAAGAAAUGUCAUUUUUCCUUAGCAACAGUUACAUAUUUCUAGAUAAUCAGUAGAAACACUAAAUCACUUCAUUUGGCUACUGUAACUAAUGAUAGUAUUAAACAACCUUUCAAAUUAAAAUAUGAAAAAAUCUUUUCAUUAGAACUAGUGCUAAAAAACUUUGUAAUUUUUAUUUAGAUGCAAGAUACACUGUAUUUCUCAAAAUAAUUUUAUGGCUUUGCACACAGACAAGUGAAAAUCAAAAUAAUUAACAUUUUUCAACAGUGAAUUAAAAUAAAAUUAGACAGACAUCACCUGUACUUUGAAAAAUCUCACUUUUUGCUUUCAGACUGAAAACUUCAACAAUUCUACAAAUAAUUGUUUCUAUAUGAAGGAAUUUAUAGUGAAAUCUCUUAGGUAGAGAAAAAUAACAGAGAAGAUGCUACUCCUGUCAUUUUUUUUUUCUGAUUAUAGCUUUUAAUGACAUCACUUUGGGAUCUUCAGCAGAAUUACAUUCCUAUCCCUCCCUUCUUCUCAGAGAAGAAUUCACUGAGAGCAGCCUUGGGAAAAAGGACUUGGAUGUCUUAGUGAAUGAAAAGCUUGGUGUGAACCAGCAGUGUGUUCUCGCAGCCCAUACCAACAGCAUCCUGGGCUAGCCAUUCCUCAUAGUACCUGUGGUGGUUUUAAACUAAAAAAGCAGAGAUUUAGAUUAGCUAAUAGGAGAGAAGUUUUCACUCAGAGGAUGAUGAGGCAUUGGCACAGGCUGCCCAGAGAAGCUGUUGUUGCCCCAUCCCUGGAGAUGCUCAGGGCCAAGUUGGAUGGGGCCAUGAGCAGCCUGAUCUAGUGAGUGGCAACCUUGUCUAGGGCAGGGGUUUGGAACUAGAUGGCCUUUAAUGUUCCUUCCAACCCAAGCCAUUCUGAUUCUGUGAUUCAGGGCUUUUCUGAAAUAAAGAAUACUACAGAGCUUGGCCAUUUCUAACAAGGUCAUAAUUAAUCCAUCUGGUAUUUCAUACAACAAAGUCAAUUCUUUUUUUGUUAAAUCUGCUUCAUAUUUUUUUACAUUUCUAAAUAGUUUUCAGAUAUAUUUUGUCAUUUGUGGCAUAUCUAAGAAGUACCACAACACAUUCCUCUCAGCCGUACUGUGCAGAACAAUUAUCCAUGUAUCUUAUGAAAUAGCAUAAAGGCAAGGCAAAAUACUAAAGUAGGUAAGAGCAUUUGAACUGUUUCAGACCAAGGAUACAUCUUCCCAGUUCAUAGAAGUGCAUGCCUAAAGAAGUGCAAGAACAAGCACAUACAUGUAUUUCACUAGGUAUCUUUGCCACUCUGUGUCUCGGGGAUUUUCUAAAACCUUCAUAAUCUGUCAUUAUUGUAAUAUUCAGAGAAUUUCUUCCAAGAAUUUGUCAAGUCUCCCAUAAAACUCGUGCACUGACACCAUGUUUUAUCAAGAAGAGCUAUGCUGUAAGAAUAAAUGCUGUAUAGUAAAUGCUGUAUGAAAAAUAAAAGCCAUUUUGCAUUCUUUGAAGUCUAGUUGUUGUCUUCUGUCUUUUUUUGUUCUAGUGAAUACUCAACAUGGGGAGAAGGUGAAGAGGAUAUGUCUAGAUGUUAUAAAGAAUUAGGCAGCUUAGUACAGAAGUAUAGGCUAUGCUGUGUGGCUGCUUGUCAUGUUUCUUUGAUUACCCGUGUGAGGAAUGGGGACUUCUUUGUCGCUUGGGGAUCGACUGCCAGUGCAGCCUGCAUGUUUGACCCUGAGGGUGAAAGCUGUUGGCCACGCUGCCUCUCUGGCCAGAAGAAUCAGUGGGUAUAUCCACGCUGUGGUUUCUCAGCAAUUUGGACACUUCUGCGAUACUGCUCUGGAAGUCCUGGGUUCUGACAAAGAUGAGUUUGUGUCUUUUCCACUGUACCCUAGCUUCCUGUCCUCUCAUCAGCAAUUGAGGGAACUGUAAAAUCUAGAUUGUGCAUAUUGCUCAUUGCCAGCUUCAGUGUCUCUUCAAAUACAACAUUAUCAUCCAAAGGAGAAUAAAUACUGUUUUUGAAAAUAAGAGAACAGAACCAUCAAGUGCAAAGAUUUUAUCCAGAAUCACACACUGGGCCAUUAGAAGAACAAGAAAUUUGCAUCCUCGUGUUCAGAACUAUGAUUGGAAUAUCUGACUUCUGUGUCUUGGAUGCUGCUGCUGCAUCUAGCGGUUGAGUUGUACAGCAAAGGAAGGCUUUAUGGCAGUGUGCAAAGAUUAGGCAUGGGAUGUCCCAGUAUCCUCAGCCACACAUUUUGUAUGUAAAGACUGCCACACAGAAUCCUUCUAUUAUGCCAUAUAAAAUGCCAGAUCAUGACCAAAAGAGAGGUAGACAAAGCAAAAUCAGUAAAGGAGAGAUUUAUUGGAAUGACCGAAACAGUGAAGAAAUGCAGAGAGAGAACAAUGAUGAAAGAAAAAAACUGUCAGCCUGAUUGUCAUCUGCAAAGAUGUACUUCAGAUAUCUCAGCGCAGAAGAUGAUGGAAAUAGACAUAUUUACAUUAGCACCACCUUCAGUCCAAGCAUGAAUAAUAG
ensembl:lncRNA